rnacentral:rRNA from 1 species
GAUGAACGCUGGCGGCGUGCCUAAUACAUGCAAGUCGAGCGAACGGACGAGAAGCUUGCUUCUCUGAUGUUAGCGGCGGACGGGUGAGCAACACGUGGAUAACCUACCUAUAAGACUGGGAUAACUUCGGGAAACCGGAGCUAAUACCGGAUAAUAUUUUGAACCGCAUGGUUCAAAAGUGAAAGACGGUCUUGCUGUCACUUAUAGAUGGAUCCGCGCUGCAUUAGCUAGUUGGUAAGGUAACGGCUUACCAAGGCAACGAUGCAUAGCCGACCUGAGAGGGUGAUCGGCCACACUGGAACUGAGACACGGUCCAGACUCCUACGGGAGGCAGCAGUAGGGAAUCUUCCGCAAUGGGCGAAAGCCUGACGGAGCAACGCCGCGUGAGUGAUGAAGGUCUUCGGAUCGUAAAACUCUGUUAUUAGGGAAGAACAUAUGUGUAAGUAACUGUGCACAUCUUGACGGUACCUAAUCAGAAAGCCACGGCUAAUUACGUGCCAGCAGCCGCGGUAAUACGUAGGUGGCAAGCGUUAUCCGGAAUUAUUGGGCGUAAAGCGCGCGUAGGCGGUUUUUUAAGUCUGAUGUGAAAGCCCACGGCUCAACCGUGGAGGGUCAUUGGAAACUGGAAAACUUGAGUGCAGAAGAGGAAAGUGGAAUUCCAUGUGUAGCGGUGAAAUGCGCAGAGAUAUGGAGGAACACCAGUGGCGAAGGCGACUUUCUGGUCUGUAACUGACGCUGAUGUGCGAAAGCGUGGGGAUCAAACAGGAUUAGAUACCCUGGUAGUCCACGCCGUAAACGAUGAGUGCUAAGUGUUAGGGGGUUUCCGCCCCUUAGUGCUGCAGCUAACGCAUUAAGCACUCCGCCUGGGGAGUACGACCGCAAGGUUGAAACUCAAAGGAAUUGACGGGGACCCGCACAAGCGGUGGAGCAUGUGGUUUAAUUCGAAGCAACGCGGAGAACCUUACCAAAUCUUGACAUCCUUUGACAACUCUAGAGAUAGAGCCUUCCCCUUCGGGGGACAAAGUGACAGGUGGUGCAUGGUUGUCGUCAGCUCGUGUCGUGAGAUGUUGGGUUAAGUCCCGCAACGAGCGCAACCCUUAAGCUUAGUUGCCAUCAUUAAGUUGGGCACUCUAAGUUGACUGCCGGUGACAAACCGGAGGAAGGUGGGGAUGACGUCAAAUCAUCAUGCCCCUUAUGAUUUGGGCUACACACGUGCUACAAUGGACAAUACAAAGGGCAGCGAAACCGCGAGGUCAAGCAAAUCCCAUAAAGUUGUUCUCAGUUCGGAUUGUAGUCUGCAACUCGACUACAUGAAGCUGGAAUCGCUAGUAAUCGUAGAUCAGCAUGCUACGGUGAAUACGUUCCCGGGUCU